GUUGUAAUGAUCAAAGAUGCUUGGCAUUGGCUAUAAAUAGCCACCUUAAGCUCAUAUCAUUCACACAACUCAAACAACUUCCAUCUGAUUAUUCUAAGUGCUCCCAAGUGUUCUUCUUUGCUCCAUAUUCAAGUCCUAACUUCUGUAAGUUGCCUUGAUCAUUCAUACUUCAGUUUAUGCUUAGAGCCCCAGUAAAAGCUAUCCGUGACUUGAUCUAAAUUAAGGAUUAAUACUUGCAAAGGUAAAUACUU
rnacentral:lncRNA from 1 species